rnacentral:rRNA from 1 species
UACGUAGGUGGCAAGCGUUGUCCGGAAUUAUUGGGCGUAAAGCGCGCGCAGGCGGUUAUGUAAGUCUGAUGUUAAAGCCCGGGGCUCAACCUCGGUCCGCAUUGGAAACUGCGUAACUUGAGUGCAGAAGAGGAAAGCGGUAUUCCACGUGUAGCGGUGAAAUGCGUAGAGAUGUGGAGGAACACCAGUGGCGAAGGCGGCUUUCUGGUCUGUAACUGACGCUGAGGCGCGAAAGCGUGGGGAGCAAACAGG